UCGGGAAUCUUGGACAAUGGGCGCAAGCCUGAUCCAGCCAUGCCGCGUGGAUGAUGAAGGCCUUAGGGUUGUAAAAUCCUUUCGUGGGGGACGAUAAUGACGGUACCCCAAGAAGAAGCUCCGGCUAACUUCGUGCCAGCAGCCGCGGUAAUACGAAGGGGGCUAGCGUUGUUCGGAUUUACUGGGCGUAAAGCGCGUGUAGGCGGGUCGUUAAGUUGGGGGUGAAAUCCCGAGGCUCAACCUCGGAAUUGCCUUCAAAACUGGCGACCUGGACUCAAGCAGAGGCAAGUGGAAUUGCGAGUGUAGAGGUGAAAUUCGUAGAUAUUCGCAGGAACACCAGUGGCGAAGGCGACUUGCUGGGCUUGUAGUGACGCUGAGACGCGAAAGCGUGGGGAGCAAACAGGAUUAGAUACCCCUGUAGUCCCUGAGCGGGCUGGCAAGGCGCAU
rnacentral:rRNA from 1 species